CAGUGGUGUGAAUGAUCCUUUGACCUGCGGUGUCAUUGACUAUUCGCAGUGAGAAUACUGGGUUUGAUUGCACGUUUUCUUGAUCCCUAGCCAUUUAGGUCCUUGUUGUGUAUGUUGGCUUCAGUAGGUUCAGAUUUACGUUUGGAGUAGGAUGUAUCUAGAUGGAAUCUAUCAACCUUGGUAGAAAAUGAGAAGUCCUAUACAAU
rnacentral:lncRNA from 1 species